UCCCUACGGGGUGCAGCAGGCGCGAAAACUCUGCAAUAAGCGAAAGCUUGACAGGGUUAUUCUGAGUGAUUUCCGCUAAGGAAAUCUUUUGGCACCUCUAAAAAUGGUGCAGAAUAAGGGGUGGGCAAGCCUGGUGUCAGCCGCCGCGGUAAUACCAGCACCCCGAGUGGUCGGGACGAUUAUUGGGCCUAAAGCAUCCGUAGCCGGUUCUACAAGUCUUCCGUUAAAUCCACCUGCUCAACAGAUGGGCUGCGGAGGAUACUAUAGAGCUAGGAGGCGGGAGAGGCAAGCGGUACUUAGUGGGUAGGGGUAAAAUCCGUUGAUCCAUUGAAGACCACCAGUGGCGAAGGCGGCUUGCCAGAACGCACUCGACGGUGAGGGAUGAAAGCUGGGGGAGCGAGCCGGAUUAGAUACCCGGGUAGUCCCAGCUGUAAACGAUGCGGGCUAGGUGUAGGGGCAGCUACGAGCUGCUCCUGUGCCGCAGAGAAAUUGUUAAGCCCGCCGCCUGGGGAGUACGAUCGCAAGACUGAAACUUAAAGGAAUUGGCGGGGGAGCACCACAAGGGGUGAAGCCUGCAGUUCAAUUGGAUUCAACGCCGGAA
rnacentral:rRNA from 1 species